rnacentral:rRNA from 1 species
AUGGAGUCGAUCUCAUCAAUAAAGAUGAUGGAAGGCGCGUUCUUCUCGGAUUGCUCGGAGGCCUUCCUCGGGUUGCUCUCGCUCUCUCCGGCCAUCUUGGACAUUAUCUCCGGGCCGUUCAUAAGGAAGAAGAAGGCCCAGGUCUCGUUUGCCACCGCACGGGCGAUCAACGUCUUGCCGGACCCGGGAGAGCCGUACAGGAGGAUGCCUUUGGGAGGCUUGACGCCAAUAGACUUGAAGAUCUGCGGAUGCCUGAGACCCUGA